GACGAACGCUGGCGGCGUGCCUAAUACAUGCAAGUUGAGCGCUGAAGGUUGGUACUUGUACCAACUGGAUGAGCAGCGAACGGGUGAGUAACGCGUGGGGAAUCUGCCUUUGAGCGGGGGACAACAUUUGGAAACGAAUGCUAAUACCGCAUAAAAACUUUAAACACAAGUUUUAAGUUUGAAAGAUGCAAUUGCAUCACUCAAAGAUGAUCCCGCGUUGUAUUAGCUAGUUGGUGAGGUAAAGGCUCACCAAGGCGAUGAUACAUAGCCGACCUGAGAGGGUGAUCGGCCAAAUUGGGACUGAGACACGGCCCAAACUCCUACGGGAGGCGGCAGUAGGGAAUCUUCGGCAAUGGACGAAAGUCCGACCGAGCAACGCCGCGUGAGUGAAGAAGGUUUUCGGAUCGUAAAACUCUGUUGGUAGAGAAGAACGUUGGUGAGAGUGGAAAGCUCAUCAAGUGACGGUAACUACCCAGAAAGGGACGGCUAACUACGUG
rnacentral:rRNA from 1 species